GCAGUAGGUCGUUCUAUCGCUCUCGGUAAUGGGAGAGGAAAGUCCGGACAACACAGAGCAUUGUGCUGUUGAAAGAACAGAUGUGCGCGAGUGCAUAGUAUAGCAGAAGAAAAUAACCGCCAAGCAAUUGGUAAGGGUGAGAAGGUGGGGUAAGAGCCUACCGCUGCGGCAAGCGAUUGAGGCAGGCGUGCUACUCACAAGUUGCAAGACCAAGUAAACCAACGCCUGAGGGCUGCUCGCCCAAGUUGGAGGGUAGGUUGCAUUAGAUAAAUGAUAGAAAUCAAAAUACGUUUUUUGAUACAGAAUCCGGCUUAUAGACCUACUGUAUUU
rnacentral:RNase_P_RNA from 1 species